rnacentral:rRNA from 1 species
GAGUUUGAUCGUGGCUCAGGAUGAACGCUGGCGGCGUGCUUAACACAUGCAAGUCGAACGAAGCGCCUUAUUUGAUUUUCUUCGGAACUGAAGAUUUGGUGACUGAGUGGCGGACGGGUGAGUAACGCGUGGGUAACCUGCCCUGUACAGGGGGAUAACAAUCAGAAAUGACUGCUAAUACCGCAUAAGACCACAGCACCGCAUGGUGCAGGGGUAAAAACUCCGGUGGUACAGGAUGGACCCGCGUCUGAUUAGCUGGUUGGUGAGGUAACGGCUCACCAAGGCGACGAUCAGUAGCCGGCUUGAGAGAGUGAACGGCCACAUUGGGACCGAGACACGGCCCAAACUCCUACGGGAGGCAGCAGUGGGGAUAUUGCACAAUGGGGGAAACCCUGAUGCAGCAACGCCGCGUGAGUGAAGAAGUAUUUCGGUAUGUAAAGCUCUAUCAGCAGGGAAGAAAGUGACGGUACCUGACUAAGAAGCCCCGGCUAACUACGUGCCAGCCG